CAGGCCUAACACAUGCAAGUCAAGCGAUCCGAUGGGAGCUUGCUCCCUUAGGUCAACGGCGGACGGGUGAGUAACACGUGGGUAACCUGCCUGUAAGACUGGGAUAACUCCGGGAAACCGGGGCUAAUACCGGAUGCUUGAUUUAACCGCAUGGUUCAAUCAUAAAAGGUGGCUUUUAGCUACCACUUACAGAUGGACCCGCGGCGCAUUAGCUAGUUGGUGAGGUAACGGCUCACCAAGGCGACGAUGCGUAGCCGACCUGAGAGGGUGAUCGGCCACACUGGGACUGAGACACGGCCCAGACUCCUACGGGAGGCAGCAGUAGGGAAUCUUCCGCAAUGGACGAAAGUCUGACGGAGCAACGCCGCGUGAGUGAUGAAGGUUUUCGGAUCGUAAAACUCUGUUGUUAGGGAAGAACA
rnacentral:rRNA from 1 species